CCGGUGACCACAUUUUAUGACACAACAGUUUUCAGCCUGUGAAAAUAGUCUCUCGGGAAGAGAUGUGGAACUGUAAGAGGUUAUAGUGUCCUAUCUGACAACUUGCAUGUUUGCAUUAACCCUUUACAUUCAUACAUCAUUGUCUCCUGCUCUGUUGCUCAUAAUCCCCAAGACUCUUGAGAAGUGAGCAGGACUGAAAGGUGCAUCGCAUGGAGUGUAAGUAAAGAGCUUAUUGAGAGUGAGAAUGCAGUUGAUUUGGUUUUUUUUUAUGGUACUGGGAAUUGAACCCAGGAUCAAUGGGCUGCCUCUCCAGUCCUUUUAUUUUUUAUUUUGAGACAAAGUCUCACUAAGUUGCCCACACAAGACUCAAACUGGUGAUCAUCCUGCCUCAGCCUCCUUCAGAACUGGGUGUUUUAAAUUUUGUUUUGUUUUUUCAAUCCUACUCCAUUUCUCUUGCUAGGAAAUGACAUUAUUUUAUUAUAAUUUCUCAUUUUUCCUACAGGAGCCAGCCCCACUGAUUUCAGAGGGCCAUCUAGGGAAAGGUGAAAGAAAUAUGCAUGUUAUCCUAUACACAGAGGGCCUUCCUCUGUCUAAAAGUAAUGCUUGUCCUAGCAAGGCCUUAGUCUGUAUGUGUUCCCAUGUGUGUGAGCUGUUCAGGGAUUACACAUACAUUUUAAAAUAUAUCUAUCAAAAAACCAAUCCAUUGAUCAAUCAAUCAUGUGCCUAAAUUUAUUUUGAAGGUAAGAAAAUGCAUAGUCAUACAUUAAUACCUGUUACUUGGAUUCUUAUAAAUUAGCAAUGUUUUUAAGGAUUCAGGGAGGGGUUUUUGACAGAAACAAAAAUCACUGACUUAAUAUUUGCUUAUAGAUCCAACAAUUUUUAUGAGCUUCUACACACUUGGUAGAUAAUGUACAAGGUAUCAAGAUUGUAAUAUGUAGUCUCUAUUCUCAUAGCUGCUUCUAAUCAAGAAUAAUAUAUUCAAUAUUUCUGUUAGGAGUAAAUUACUAUAUAAGAAUUUCCAUUCAAGCAUAAAAUCAUGUGUCAGAUGGCUAUUACAUCCUACGAGUGCCCCAAGAAGGGGAAAAUAGUGUGUUCUAGAAAGGCAUCUCUGUGAAGGAGCAGAGAAUUGGCUACACCUCGAACGAUGAGGAACAUUUAAACAGGUACAACAGUGGUAGGAGUGAGGUGAUGAACCUGGUUUUAUGUUGUUACUAGAGAAGCUGGACCUGAAUUAAAGUUGAGCAUGUAUUAUCUCAGAUACUUCUGAACCUGGGAGAUGAAGGUGAGUCUGCCCCUUCCAUAGGUAGGCCUGGUACCUGAGCCUGGGGAUGUGGUCUGGGGGAAGCUGGGGAGAUCUUUGAGUGCAUGCCUCAGAGACCGAGGGACUGUCCAUUUUCAUCUGGACAUACAUUAUAGACAUACCUUCUUAAAUUGGCUUGUGUUAACUUGGAAGUUUAGUACAGCACAGUUUAUCAUAGAAUAAGAAUAGACCCCCAUGAAAAAUGUGGAACUAAGUUUAACUAUUAUGAGAACAUGAGGAGGCUUCACCAUCUCUUAGUUCAGAGCUGCUCUCUUUUCUUGAGAGAUAAGCAGUGAAGGCCCUUCUGUGUAGGCUUUUGAGACUCACACUAUGACCACUGCAAUAGUUUGAAUCUUCUGUGUCCUCAUAGAUCCAUGUGUUAAAGGCUUGGUCCCAGUGUGGCACUAUUGACAGAUACUGAAACCCUUAGGAGGUGGAGUCUAGUGGGAGGAAGUUAAGUCAUUGAGGGGCGUGUCCUUGAGAUAUCGGGAUGCUAGCCCCUCCUCUCUCUUUGCUCCUUGGCUCAUGAUAUAGGUGGUUUACCCUGCUACUCUGCUACGUGGUCUGCUUAAGAUGCACUGCCUCGCCACAGGCCAAACCAAAGGGGCCAAUGAAAAUGGGCUGGAACCUCCAAAAGUCUGUACUUGGAAAGGAAACAGCCCCCAGAGACCCUCCUUGUGAUUUCCAGAUGGCAGGAUGCCUCCUAUUAGUAGGACCUAACUGGAAGCCAACUGGAGAAAAUGCCCAUAACUGGUUGAAAACUUCCAUGUGCAGAAGUCCAAGAAAUCCCAACCUCCAGCCAGCAACCAAUGCAAGACUACUAUCCUGAUGUACUGUCACACUGGAGUCAUUUAAAGUCAGUUUUUCUAUGGCACUCUUCAGGUUAUUAUAUUCAGACUGAUCUAUAGGAUACAUUCCUGCAAAUACCAUUGGUUUCACUGAUUUAAAUACAGGCAAGGGCUCCACUGGAUGAUUAUGUAAAUACAACGUAUCUCCUAUUUGUGCUUCAGUGACAUCUUUCAUCCCAGCAAUCAAAUAGCCCACCUGUCCUGCAUAUAAUUUAAGAGUUGGCUGCUCAUUAGGAUUCAGAACUCCUGCUUCAUUAACUUUGCAUGUCUUUUGAGUAUGUGCUGAUACAAUUUUAUCUCCUUUGGAAACCCACUCCAUCAAACAACACUACAUUGGCUAUCACACCUCUAUAUUGGUCAAAGGUGGAGUCAAAUACCAAAACUCUCAGAGGAUUUUUGCGAUGCACCUUAGGAAGGGGUAUUCUUUCAAUAACUGCCUGAAGAACAUGUUCAACAUUUGUUCCAAGUUUAGCAGAAAUCUUAAUACAAUCAUCACUUGGAAUAUCAAAUACUUUUUCAAUUUGUUUUUCAACCCUUUCAGGAUGUGCAUUCUUCAGAUCUGUCUUGUUUAUAACUGGAAUUAUUGACAGCUGUGCUUCAAAAGCAAGAAAGAAGUUUGCUACAGUUUGGGCUUGAAUACCCUCAUUUGCAUCGACCACCAGUAAAACACCCUGGCAAGCAGAAAGUGACCUGGAUACUUCAUAACUGAAAUCAACAUGGCCUGGUGUAUCAAUAAGAUUUAAAACGUACUCCUUUCCUUCAAAAUUGUAAAAAAGAGAUGCUGUCUGUGCUUUAACAGUGAUUCCUGUUUCUCGUUCCACUUGCAGUUUAUCAAGAACUUGCUUAUUGUCUUAUCAACUGUUCCUGUUAGUUCUAACAGCCUGUCAGCUGAAGUACUUUUGCCAUGAUCCACAUGUGCAAUGAUACUGAAAUUUCUAGUAUCUUCAACAGGAAAUCUAGAUGUGUCUGGUUUUUCCCAAGAUCACAUUGGAGGAGCUGUGGAAGGAUUAAAUAAGCAGAAUGGAGCCCGCGUGCUCCAGGCUCUGCCACCCUAGAAAUAACUGGAAGCGGGGUCCACUCGCAAUCCCAGGAAGCCCCGAAAGAGUGCAUGGAGCACGCUGUGAAGUCCAGAAGGGGGCGUAAUCACGGGCUUAGAGGCGGUCACCUUGUGCCGUGCAGAGCUGCAGAGCCUGUCGCUAGCCCAGGACCCUGCAGCAGCCCCGUGUCUGGCAGCGGGCCAGAACCGGGGUGGCUGGGGUCGUGCGGCCCCUGUGGCACAUGGCAGGAGCACGCGUCUGUGCCAGCAGCCCCGGCCUGCGAGGGUCCACAUGGCCUGGGCACUGGAGCCCACAAGCUGGUUUGUUCCCAAGAGCCCAGCUAAGCGCCGCAAGGAAGAAUCUGGAUCGCUCUAGAGGCUAAAUCAGGUUGCCUUACAGUUUUCACCCCACGACUCCCGGCAGGAGGCCAGAAACCAGCACCUUCACUCUCAUUUUUUGUUCUGUAUACCCUAAAGUUGAAUUGCUAAAUCAUAUGGUAAUUCUGGUUUUAGUUUUUAGAGAAACUACCAUAUAGUUUAAUAUAGUAGCUGUAUCAUUUUCUAUUGCCACUAAUGGUGUUCAUGGUUGCAAUUUCUCCCCAUCCUUGCCAACACUUAUUUUUAAAAAAAUAGUAGCCAUUCUAAUGAGUGUGAGGUGGUAUCUCAUUGUGACUUUAAUUUGCUUUUCCCUAAUGAAGCAUCAAUAUUUUUUCCAGGAAAUUUAUAGUUUAACUCUUCCAUUUAAAUCUUUAAUCCAUUUUGAGUUAAUCUUUAUAUGUAAUGACUUUAUUUUUUUGCAUGUGAACAUACAAUUUUUCCAGAACUACUUGUUGAAAAGACUUUCUCUUCCCAUUUACUGGCCUUGGAAAUCUUGUCAAAAAUAAUUAGGUCACUUGUGAAGGGUUUAUUUCUGUACUGUUUAUUCUAUUCCACUGAUCUAUGUCUGUUUUUAAUGUCUUUAUGUGCCAUACUGUUUUGAUUACUAUAGCUUUGUAAUAAGUUUUGACAAAAUGUGAUUGGUCCAAAGCUGUUCUUUUUCUUAAUUGUUUUGUUAUUCUGGAUCCCCAGUUGAUCUGAGGAUGGAUUUUUCUGUUUCUGCCAAAAAGUACCACUGAGAUUUUGAUAGAAAUUUCAUAAAAUCUUUGGGUUAUUUGGUUAAUACUGAUAUCUGUUUUCAUUUCUUUCUCUCUUUUUUUUUCGUACCAGGGAUCGAGCUUGGGACCUGGUGCUUGUGAGGUGGUUGGCAGCACCACUGAGCUAAAUCCCCCACCCUGUUUUCAUUUCUUCUGACACAAGAUUAACCAACUUCAAAAUUGUUACACUUAGUUUCUAAAAGAGACAAGGAGAACUGCUGUGCUUAAAGAACUUUCAGAGAUUGUGCACAAUGUGCCCGCAGGGCUGUGUUCCUCUUUUCCCUCCUAGAACCGGUCCAUGUUUUAUUCCCAGCCAGCCUCCUCUUAGCAGAACAGGACAUGAACACUCAUGUAAAAGUCCUUACAAUAUUUGUGCUAGUCAAUCGGCAUAAAUUCAAACGUGCAAUGAUGGAAUCAUUGGUACUACUUUUAAUUCCAGGGAAAAAGGACUUUUUGGUUGAUCAGUGGCAAGUGCCAGCCCGCUAUAAAUGUAGACUCUCUCCCUCCCUUGCUUCCUACAGCAAUAGGCCCUUAACUGCUCCUUAGCAAUUUUGCAUUGCCCAUUUUGCUUCAUAUAUAUAUUUCUUUUUAGGACUGAGAAUUUGAACCUCUUUGACAAGUCUUUAAAAAUGCAUCAUUAUGGGAGAGACUAAUUAUUCUUAGGACUUUGAUAAUCUUUUAUUUUUGAAAGGCCAUUCAUUCAUAUAUAUAUGUAUUUCUUUUUAGGACUGAGAAUUUGAACCUCUUUGACAAGCCUUUAAAAAUGCAUCAUUAUGGGAGAGACUAAUUAUUCUUAGGACUUUGAUAAUCUUUUAUUUUUGAAAGGCCAUUCAUUCAUAUAUAUAUAUAUAUUUCUUUUUAGGACUGAGAAUUUGAACCUCUUUGACAAGCCUUUAAAAAUGCAUCAUUAUGGGAGAGACUAAUUAUUCUUAGGACUUUGAUAAUCUUUUAUUUUUGAAAGGCCAUCCAUUCACCUGUUUUGUUCAUUCAGAUGAAAAUUAAUAGAACACACAUCAUGAUUUUCAAAGCUAUUUUGAAAUGAUGGAAACCCUGCCCAAACCUUUGAAGAAAAGCACUUGCUUUAAUAGAUUUGAGAAGGUAUCCUAGCAACCACUCUAUAGUGAAAUUUAUCAAUUUCUCAGGGAGAAUUUGUAUUAAAUCCAAGAAAGAGACACUUCAAUUUUAAUUUCUUAGAGUCAUUUUUUCUACAUUGUUUCAGAGAUCGGACAUUCUUAGAUAUCUUCACUCUUGAGACUUCAUUUAAUAACCACUAAAAGCAUAUUUGAUGUUACCCUACAUGGGCUGUCUCCUUCAGUGGUACUGAAUUCCAGCUGGUACAGAAAGAUGAUAGAUAGAUAGGAGGUGUAUAUUUUAAAAUAGUAUAAGAAGCCAAAAAAAGUGCAAAAAUAUUAUAUAUGUAUUUGUGCUUUUUUGUUUUUAUUUCUAUACAUGCAAAAAUAUGGCCCAAAACCUUGUUGACCCUGAGGAAGCCUGAGGCCUAGAAAACAUUCAUUCACACUAAUCUGGCUUUUCUUUGGUUUUAUAAAAGGGAAGAGAUUUAUUUGGUUUUGCUUUCAGAUUUCAGUUAUUUCUAAAUUGAAAACUUUAAAAAAAUGUGAAUGCAAAUGAAAAUAGAAUUUGUUUCCAGAUGUAUAAACACAUCAAGCAUGAAAUGACAUGAACCAAAUAUGCAUUCUGCAAGUAGGAUUCAGAAGUGAGCUGGCUAUUAAAAUUAAAUAGUGUUAACAAUGCAAUUCUAGAUCACCAGGGAAUAGGGCCUGCAUAGAAAAUUCAUAUGCGUGAGAAAGACUUAGUCUCAGGGGUUUUGUUAUCUUGAAAAGCAAAGUGAAACUGCUAUGUGGAUUGGUCUAUGGGGAUUUAUAGUUUGUGUGUUGUUUGCAGUCAUUUAGUGUCUACCUAGAUAUAUAUGCGGAUGUGUACAUGAGGACAUGCAUGCACACAACAUAGUUAUUUUAAUUAUGAUGCUAUGAUAAUUUAGUUGUAGGGAGAGAAUUUCCAUAACUUAGCAGGAAUGCUAAUGUUUCUUUGAUGUAUGCCAGUGACAGAUGAAGACUUUAUUUAUAAUGUAUUAAGAUGAACCCUACAUUUAUAGCUACAGCUUUCUUCUGGAAUGAUGCCAAUUAACAAGAAUACAAGUAGAGCAUACUUUUCCUUCCAAAAUAGCAGGGAUUCAAUAAAGAUUUGUUGAUUUCAUUAUUCUAUAUUCUUCGAUUAGAUUUUUAUUUAAGUAUAAUAUGAAUUAUA
rnacentral:lncRNA from 1 species